AAAUCGCAAAAAGAAAGUCUGCUAUAAAAGAUGAUUCUGAAAACGAAACAAGCUUCCAUCACAACCCUGGUCAAGGAAAUGGAGAGUGAGGCCAGUCAUUCGCUCUGACGGCAUCUACUGGACAUGGCACCGCUUCAUCAGCAACAGAACGAGAUUUUGUUGUUGGCGGAUAUGUUUCGGUAAAAUUUAACAAUCAGGCUCAGCGAAAGGGUGCAGAUGCUGAUAUCGGUGACAUGGCUAUGGUGACGAACAAAUCUGAGAAUGACGAGGUUGUGUUGAGGUUCAUGUGCAAGGUCGGUGGAUACUACAAAUUCGAAGAGACGCUGUUCACUCAUCCCACUUGUGACAUCCUGUGUUCAGUAAAUCCACCAGCACUCCUAAACCACCGUGGCGGAAACCAGUUUGUUUUCUCCCCCGAGGAUAUUCAGAAAGUUGUAUCAGCUGCACACUGCAAAAUAAUACUAAAAUAAGAGAACCUCAUAUCCAGUUUCGAUGUUGAAUUUUUAAUACAUGAAAAUGUAGUUCAAAUUCUAUUUCAGUGAUAACAGAG